AGCUUNGGGAGCGGUCCCCAUCUAAGUGCCCUGGAACGGGACGUCAUAGAGGGUGAGAAUCCCGUAUGGGAUGGGGUGUCCGCGCCCGUGUGAAGCUCCUUCGACGAGUCGAGUUGUUUGGGAAUGCAGCUCUAAAUGGGUGGUAAAUUUCAUCUAAAGCUAAAUAUUGGCCGGAGACCGAUAGCGCACAAGUAGAGUGAUCGAAAGAUGAAAAGCACUUUGAAAAGAGAGUUAAAAAGCACGUGAAAUUGUUGAAAGGGAAGCGCUUGCGACCAGACUCGCUCGCGGGGUUCAGCCGGCAUUCGUGCCGGUGUAUUUCCCCGCGGGCGGGCCAGCGUCGGUUUGGGCGGUCGGUCAAAGGCCCUCGGAAGGUAACGCCCCUAGGGGCGUCUUAUAGCCGAGGGUGCAAUGCGACCUGCCUAGACCGAGGAACGCG
rnacentral:rRNA from 1 species